GACGAACGCUGGCGGCGUGCUUAACACAUGCAAGUCGAACGGAAAGGCCUCUUUCGGGGGGUACUCGAGUGGCGAACGGGUGAGUAACACGUGAGUAACCUGCCCUUGACUUUGGGAUAACUUCAGGAAACUGGGGCUAAUACCGGAUAGGAGCUCCUGCUGCAUGGUGGGGGUUGGAAAGUUUCGGCGGUUGGGGAUGGACUCGCGGCUUAUCAGCUUGUUGGUGGGGUAGUGGCUUACCAAGGCUUUGACGGGUAGCCGGCCUGAGAGGGUGACCGGCCACAUUGGGACUGGGAUACGACCCAGACUCCUACGGGAGGCAGCAGUGGGGAAUUUUGCACAAUGGGUGGAAGCCUGAUGCAGCAACGCCGGGUGCGGGAUGACGGCCUUCGGGUUGGAAACCGCUUUCGCUCAUGACGAAGCUUUGUGUGACGGUAGUGGGUAAAGAAGCACCGGCUAACUACGUG
rnacentral:rRNA from 1 species